ensembl:lncRNA
GAAGUCAAGGCUCCGAUGGGACAAGGAGGCCUCUGCCUGCAUAACCACCACUCCUCUUGCGGGUUGGUCCUCCCUGGGUCUGUCCCCGGAUGUUCCUCGACUGCACACAGCACGAAGGCUGCCUCCAGUCUCCACACCUGUGCAUCUGGGCUGCCCGGCCUUCACCCACCCUGCCUAUCCCUGCCCUCUGUCCCCACAGCCCAGGCAGCAUAGAAGCUCUGUGAGGGCAGGAUGCAGCAGGGCCUACACACAGCAGCGGUGGACAGCCCUGGAAAGUCUUAGGGUCAUUCCUGUCCUGCCACGUGGCCUCAAGCACUUGGGGCCUGGAAUCCUCAUUGUACAGAUAGAAAAUGAAGUUGAAGAAGCCUGGCAUUCUCCUCCCUCACCCAUGGUCAGUGGGUCCCAAGGACACCAGAGACAGCUCCUCCUCAGGUGUCCAGCUCCACCAUGAAGACAGGAACCCGUGCCUAUCUGAGUAGCCGAGGCUGGUGCUGAGUGUCCAAGGAGGCUGACACUUUCGGGUCGCAAGCUGGAUGCAGCCCUCUCUGACCACCAGGGCAGGACAACAUGAGGCCGUGGCCAUAGGACACCACCUCAGAGGAGAAGAGCUGGACUCCACAUUUCUGGAAAGUCAAGGGAAUUCAAGGAAGCUGACUCCAUCCUCUGCAUUCUGUGACUUGGCCAGAGCCAGUGAGCAUCCCCGGUCCCUCAGCCCAAGGGAUUGGUCAGCAUGGCCAUGGGACCCGAGAUGGGUCCUGUGACCACAGAAGGAGUGGACCACUCAUGAGCUCUGGCUGUCUUGGAUCCAGAAGGAAGAGGCUCCCAAUGAGGCCCAAACAGAGGCAGAAGGACAACUGUGUUGGUUACUUUUCUCUAGUUACUGAGACAAAAUAACUGACGCCCAAAGUUAGAGGGGAAGGGUUUUAUUUGACUUACAGUUCAUAGAGGUUUCAGUCCAUAAUUAGCUGGCUCCAAGGCAGGGUGCCAUGACAAGCCUUGAGGAGGAGAAACAGCAGUUCGUGGCAGCCAGAAGGUAUUCAAAGCAACAAGAGACCUUAAGAGGAUCUUUCUGCCCCUUUUGUCUUUUUCAGACUACUUAGCACUCACUCGCUUAACCCUAGUGCCCUUGGGCCUCAGCCCACCGUGAGUCAAUCACACACUCUAGAUCCGGCCACCUCCAAAAUAGCCCAUGACCACAUGAGGCUCGGGGGGACAUCCAGACACAAACCGUAACAACAUCUGACCUCUGAUUUCAUAUAAAGCAGUUACAUAAGCGGGUAAAUGUCAUGGGAGGUCAGAUCUCCUGAUAACUGUUGCCCGCAGUACCCAGCAGCCACCAUUUUGCGUGGACCAGCCUAUGCCCCCCAGGAUCUCCUGCUUUGGCCAUGUUGUCCCACCCAGAGCUCACAGCUUUCUGAGUGGGACAAAACCCUGCCUCUCUCCUGCAGGACCAGGCCUGCCCCCUAGGAAGCUUGGGCUGCUCUCCUGCUGUACAUGCUACAUGCAUUCCAAAAAGCAAACCUCCCUCCCUCCUUCCUUCCCUCCUUCCUUCCUUCCUUCCUUCCUUUCUUUCUUUCUCUCUCUCUCUUUCUUUCUUCCUUCCUUCCUUUCUUGCGUUUUUUCUUUCUUUCUUUCUGCUUUAUCUCCCCCCACCCAGUAAUGGGGAUUGAACCCAGAGCAUCACACAUGCUAGGCAAACACCCUACUACUAAUCUAAACCCAAGCCCCUUUUAAAAUUUUAUUUUGCAUCACCAGCCCUUUUUAAAAUUUUAUUUUGAGACAGUCUCAUUAAAUUCCCCAGGCUGGCUUCUAUCUUGGCCCCCAAAACCAACUCCUGUCCCCAAGUAAGGUAAUUUUGGGUCUCUUCAGAAAACACCCCACUUCCCAGAGUCAGAGAGUGGUCAUUGUGUUGGGUAGCGCCCUGACCCCAGUGUCCUCCCUGCAAGAUUCUGUCCUCUGCCCUUCAAACCCUCAGAGGAAGAGGCUCCCGUCCUCUCACUGCCCACAAAGGAGGACCUGCUGCUUGGCACGUGGCUUCUCCCAGGGGCAAACUCUGCUGCCUGGACUGGAAUUCAUUUGAGAGGUGACCCCAGAAACAGGGGAGUGGACAGUUUCUGAGGUAGAGAGGGUUGCAGUGUGUUGAAUGUGUUCCCCCAAAAUUCAUGUCUUCUUGGACCUGGAGAAUGUGGCUUCAUUUGGAAAUAAGGUCUUUGCAGAUGUAACCAGUUUAAUCAAGAUGAGGUUGCUGUUAUGAUUUGCAAAGUGAGGGAUUUAAAUUAGAUUUGGUGUAGUGAGGUAUAGCUCAGUCAAGGACACUCACUAGAAUGGCAAAAGACUAAGUUUAUUCCUCACAGAGCCCAGGGGGAAGACAGCAAGGUCAAUGGGAGGAAGAGGCAGGUGUUGGAACAUGGGUUCUCAGCCAGUGGGUAAGGAACAUGUGAGAGGAACCUGUGGACCUCAGCUGUUACUGGGGUGCAGGGUGUGACUGGGGUGGGUUUCCUGAAACAGGGCUGGGAUGGUUAAUUUGAAGGGCUAAGCACGGGAAUCCAGGGUUCCAUUGUCAAGUUCACCAGUGUUAAAGCAGAAGUGAUCAGAUGGUUCAGGGGCUGGGGGUCCUAUCUGUCUCAAAAUAUGCAGGUCAUAUGUGAUGAGCCAGGGACAGGACAUAAAGCUGGAGUCUAAGCAUUAAUGAAUGACAGGGACAACUGCCAUAUUAGAGUAGGAAAGGCCCUAAAUCCAAUGACUGGUGUUAAAAAGACACACAGACAUACGCACAAGGUGGGAGGCCAUGAGAUGACAGAGGCAAAGGGUG